CCUACGGGAGGCAGCAGUGAGGAAUAUUGGACAAUGGGCGCAAGCCUGAUCCAGCCAUGCCGCGUGCAGGAAGAAGCAUCUAUGGUGUGUAAACUGCUUUUGUACAGGAAGAAACACUCCCUCGUGAGGGAGCUUGACGGUACUGUAAGAAUAAGGACCGGCUAACUCCGUGCCAGCAGCCGCGGUAAUACGGAGGGUCCGAGCGUUAUCCGGAAUCAUUGGGUUUAAAGGGUCCGUAGGCGGUUUAAUAAGUCAGUGGUGAAAUCUGGUCGCUCAACGAUCAAACGGCCAUUGAUACUGUUAGACUUGAAUUAUAAGGAAGUAACUAGAAUAUGUAGUGUAGCGGUGAAAUGCUUAGAUAUUACAUGGAAUACCAAUUGCGAAGGCAGGUUACUACUUAUGGAUUGACGCUGAUGGACGAAAGCGUGGGGAGCGAACAGGAUUAGAUACCCUGGUAGUCCACGCCGUAAACGAUGGAUACUAGCUGUUCGGAGNAUAUGAGUGNGUAGAGAAGUAGAGUAAGUAGUACCACCGACGGAGGUAACGGUUACGUCGAGAAGUAGAAGUUAACGUAAUUAGAGUUAGUAGGACGNGAGAGAGCGACGGACGACGACGAGGAGGAGGAGG
rnacentral:rRNA from 1 species